ACUAAUUUUGAUUCUAACCCUAGAAAAUAUAUUUUUUUGUAUAUUUUGUUUUGUAUAAAAGUAAAAUAAAUGAGUUUAUUUUCUAUUUGAUAACAAAUCCACUGGUUGAAUUGAAAUCUACGAGCUCUAUACAGAUAUGGUAAUAAUACAGUGAUACGAGCUUCGGUAAGCUUCUUAUGAAGAUAGGAAAGGAGAAUACACCCAGAAAAAUGGAAGAAAAUGAUGUUUUCCUUUGGGAAGAUGUGUGCUUGCGUAGAAUUUCAUAAGAAAACCUCACCGAUUGUACUCUGCUUUUCAAUGAAGGUGUGUGCCAACAAAGAGAAGCUGGAACAACAAGAUUGGAAUCGUUAAGAUGGUUUCUGAUUCUAAUUGUUGCCUUCAAAUCAUUCCUCCAAUUAGCUCUUCAUAAAAUUAUACCCUUGAACAUUCAAAUCCAUGGACUCUAUGCUGCACCUUCCGAACUUGCUUUUUUCUUUGGUAUAAAGAUAAUUUAAAUCUAAAUUGUUGUUCUACACUGUUAGAAAUUUAUUAUGGUUAUGAAGAAAUGCAGUGUAUAAGAAAUAUGCGCAAGUUACUGGAAAUACGAACAUCCGGUAUACAUCAGAAAGAAAAUUCUAGAGAAGAAUCAAGGAACAAUAUCCCAGGACGACAAUUUGGGCCGUAUAUGUCUAACAAUAAAUGUAUAAUUAAUUAUUGUGUCAAUUGUAUUUUUAAACUAU